rnacentral:rRNA from 1 species
UUGGAGGGCAAGUCUGGUGCCAGCAGCCGCGGUAAUUCCAGCUCCAACAGCGUAUAUUAAAGUUGUUGCAGUUAAAAAGCUCGUAGUUGAAUUUCGGGAUCAAUUUAUUGGUCGUGCCAACGGUACGCACUGGUACAAUUGGUUUCUCCCUUCUGACGAAGCAUGAUGUCAUUAAUUUGAUGUCGUGGGGAAUCAGGACUGUUACUUUGAAAAAAUUAGAGUGUUUAAAGCAGGCUUUGGCUUGAAUACAUUAGCAUGGAAUAAUGAAAUAGGACGUUUGAUCUUAUUUCGUUGGUUUCUAAGAUCGACGUAAUGAUUAAUAGGGAUAGUUGGGGGCAUUAGUAUUCAAUUGUCAGAGGUGAAAUUCUUGGAUUUAUUGAAGACUAACUACUGCGAAAGCAUUUGCCAAGGAUGUUUUCAUUAAUCAAGAACGAAAGUUAGGGGAUCGAAGACGAUCAGAUACCGUCGUAGUCUUAACCAUAAACUAUGCCGACUAGGGAUCGGAUGAUGUUAAUUUUUUAAUGACUCAUUCGGCGCCUUACGGGAAAC